AGAGGAGGUGCCUGGAGGCAGCAAGAGCUCGGGUCACUGAGGUACCCCAGGCUAUCAGCGACAUCCACAUGGGCUGGCAGGUACCGCUCUGUAGCCGACCCGUGGAUCGGCAGCUGAGGCAGAUGGUCAUAUCACAGGGCACCAGAUACCUGUCUUGAGGCAACUGUACGGAGCUCACAGAGUUAACUCUGCUAUCAGUCACGUUUCUAUAGCUCUAGAAGAGAAGGCGAUGGCAGGAGCAUGAGCAAACAGGGUCCUGUGAGGUGGCAGGUACGUGCCUGCUGCCUCCCUUCCCCGGAGAAGGGGGAGAACAAAGCACUUGGCCUUGAAAACCCUCUACUAGGUCUCAUUCACUCAUUACCACCUCACCUGAGGCAUCUCUGAAGUUCCCCCUAUCUAACUGCAGACAGGCACAAAACCUCAGGAAGUCAGAUUCACAGAAUGAAGACAUGAAAGAGUUGCAGAGCUCCCAAAGGAAAGGAAUAUUCAUGGCCUAUUCUUUAUGCUAUGGCUUAGUUCUGUGCUAUCCUGGCUGCAAAGAAGAUUUCUGCACAGAUAGAAAGUGUUCAGCAACCUCUGCAUCCAGCUCUCCUGUCCAGUGGACCAGAAGACAUCUUGCCCACAGGACUAACAUCCACUGUUUUUCCCCGUUAGAGACCACGCAGUGCUGAGCGCAAAAAGCAUCACCUAACUCAGCCCGAAUCUGAAAAAUCCCAGUUCUGGGAACACAGAGUUUGGCAUUAUGCCGACAAUACAGGCCAAGGGCAAAUCACUUCUUAAUUACUGCUUACGGUGCAGAUUUCUGCUUUCACUCAGGCAGCUACCAAUCUGAAAGACGUAACAAGACCCUGAGCAGGCUGCAGUUGACCCACCCCAGCUAUUGAUCCUGUUGGAUCCACUGGUCCUGCUGGAACUGCAAGAUUACAGAUCCACUGAGAUGCCUAAAUGUUAUCCCUAUUUGGGAAUCUCAAGACAGAGAGAUAUCCAGCACUUGGCUGUAGUGCAUGCCUGGAGGCAGUGCAGACUGACCUCCUGCGAGAGCAGAUGAAUGCAUAGUCCCCACCUGGCAGGCUGCACUCUGCUCUUGGAAAUAAAUCUUCUGCUCUGCUGCUGAGCAUCGAGCAGGAAAGCAAGAAUUCAGAUCUCACCCCACACUUUCAGUGUACCUUUAUUCUCAGCCGUCACCUGGUUUCUGAGGUCUGCAACGUACCUAGAUGCCAUGGUCUGCACCAAGAUCUUCUUGCUCGGUCAUGUUAGUUCAGGCAGUUUGACAAGAACUUAGAAACCAUUUCUGUAAACCUCUUCUCUUCAGAUUUGUCAAAAUAUUUUCUUCUGGGUUUGGACCAGCAAGAAAAGCCUUCAACCUCCAGGCACUCUGUGAGGUACGCAAUCCUGUCACCUGCUUCUCCAGCAGACCUGCCAGGUUCCCAGAGCUCUGCAUGGAGCUCACAGAGAGGAGGAAGUCUCUAUUUUAAUAUUCACAGCAAGAAACAAAACUAGCUGUACACCUGUGAUUUGACACAGACAUUCUCUGGAGUCUGAUGAAGGGCUCGGGUAUCAAUAACAAGGCAGGAAGGUUUGCACCAAAAAUGAAACUAAUUCCAAUCGAUGUUCACACCACAGUUGGCUGCAACUCGUUCAGCUUUUUUUCCUCUGGACAGACCCGGCAUGAAGCUGAGCAGAAUUAACAAAAUGAGGAGGAUCAGCAAGAAGCUUGGUGGAAUUAUAAGUGCAGCCCAGCCAUUUGUAGGCAACAUCUGUGACAGUGCUGUGCUGCAGGUUACUGUGAAUUUGUGGUCACAGAGUCAUGGUACAAUCAAAGAAAAACAAGUCAUGGGAAGUCUCCAUUCUCUGUAUAUCUCUAAUUGAUCUGGGCCUUUAGACUCCCCCGUCCUGGGAGCUGGAUAAGCAACAACAACGGGAUUACACCAUCAACAACAAAGUCCAUAAGAGGCAUUGCAAAGAAUAUGUGUGAAAACUAUAAAGUGCUAGCAAAACCUGUUUGUCCCUAAUAUUUGCUCCUGGGGAUUGUUCAGAGAGAGUCAUUGAGAUUACGAUGAAAUAUUCAUACUACAGCAGCUCACAGAGCAGGACUUGUCCCUGCUCUUCUGGCUCCCAUGCAAAAACCCCACCAAAACCGAAACACACACCCACACCCAAACAGAAAAAAAUAACCCCAACCAACCAACCAACCAAAAAAACCCCAAACAAAACAAAACAAAAAAGCACUAACUCUUCUCCCAUGAGCUCAGAGCUUCAGGUUCCACCGCAAGCAAACGCCACACUCACAAGGUCACUCCUCUCUCACUUCUAGAGGUGAUAUCUAAAGGGAUCGUGAUAAGGUUAGUACACUCAUACUGGUAUAAAGCUGCCCUACAUAAGCAAUCGCCUGCCCCAGUAACCAGCUUGCAAUGUGUAUAGAGCCCCCCCCCGUGCAUAAGGGCCCCGCUUAACUAAACCCAGUUGAGAAGAGACUUCCAAGAGAGACCACUGUUGUCUGGGCUGAGAUGGUGCCAGGGAAGAGUUUCAUGGAGUGAAAAUCGGGCCCUGAGCAGUAAUCAGAGCUGAAUACUGCUUCUGCUUGUGGAAGGGACAGAGUGCCAGGGACAGGCCCUUCACAGCCACAGAUACAGAAAAUAAAGGUUGCAGAUUUUAUCUUGCUCCUACAAAACAGAAGUCGGGGACAGGGUCCCCAUUUCCCAUUACCUUCCUUCCAGCGCUAUUUUGGCUCUUUACUAUUUAGCAGAAGCACGUGCCAUGUGUGGUUGUUUUUACCCAGAGGCAGUUAAUACUUGAACAGAAUGAAGUCCAAUUUAAUGGGACUUUUGAGAGGGAUGAAGGUGGAAAAACAUUGGGGGUUUACUGUUUCCCAGACGAUAAUUGAAGCACUUCAUAUGUGACUAUCUGAGCUCAAGGCCAUGUUUAAACCACCACAGGAAGCUGCAAAUGAAGAAAGCAGAGAAAUUUUUAUGCUCAGCCUCAUACGCCUACUGAUUACACACCUUGCAAGCACCAGGAGUAGGUGUCAGCUGUGUCUCAGUGGGCAAGGCACACACACGGCUUGUCUACCUGCAGUGCUUGGCUCAGAGAAAGGCAGUUUCUGCAAGGGUGGAGCAGCUGACUCUGAGCAGCUUCUUCUCUCCACCAAGAAAUCCACUCAGAGCAGUAAUCCAGCUCCUGAGUGACUGUGCGCGACAUGGCAGCAAAGCACACUGACCAGCACGACAAAUGCUGCAAUAUUAACAGGCUCAAAAGAUGCAAUUGUUUGCAGAGAGCAGCUCUGCAACGUGUUUCCAGCCUCUCAAUCCUGCUGUCCUUGCUCUUCCUGAAGGCUUAAUCCAAGCCUUCUGAACUGAAAAAUUAAUGCCCCGAGGGCUGGAGUGCAAUUGCACAUUCCUAUGCCUUCUCAGAGUCUAAUCCUGUACAGAGAUCUAAGAGCUUGGAAGCCUGUGCCUUUUGUUCAUCACCUUGCUGAGCAAGCAAAGGAGCCAAAUGCUUUCUUGGAUGCAUAUCCAUCUAUGUUCUGAUGACUACAUGCAACUUUUCGCCAUGAUUAGCUCUUCCAGAUACGAUUGAUUCAUUUAUUUCUUGAGCACUCUUGGCAUGCCUGGACAACCUGAUACGAACAUUACAGCAAGAACAACAGCCCACACCGCUGCAUCCUGCUCACAGUACAACAGCCCGCACCUUUCUCCAGUUACUGCAAAGCUCUGAAGAAUAGUUUGGCAGAUCUGCAGAAAAUCCACUUGAAAUCUUGAAAUCCAUGAGUUCCAUUUAAGGGUAAUUAAUGAAUGAUUCAGAAAAGAUGUGCACAUUUGUUGUAUGCCCACAGCCCUGCUCUCGCUGAUCAGCGUUUAAGGAUGAUUUCAUUGCACGGUAGCUUUUCCUAAGGUCUAAUUCAAUUACAUAAGAUGCCUCUGGACGAGAAAAGCACAGUCCCAGAAAUACUCACUCAUACACUACUUUGGAAAGUGAGCAAUUCUGCAGAAUAGGAGUGAGGAUAGAGCUCCACUGACCUAGCAGAGCUAAUGGGAGUCUCACUAUUGUUCUAAAAUUGAAGGAGAUCAACUAUUUUAUUUCUCCCGGUGGACCUUUUUCACUGAAUCACUGAAUCACUGAAUCACAGUAUCAGCACUUUUCCCUGGCCUCAGCAGUAAAAAUCUGGGAACAAAGCCUCUCUGGAACCUGCCCCUCAAAGCUCUGUCAGCUACCAUACAGGAAAUGUGGGGGUGUUUACCGCUGGAAGUGAACUUUCCUUGCCACCUGCAAAACACCAGUGCAACUGCUCCUCUUCGCAGCCUAGAUGAAUCUUUCUCUGGAGAAUAGGAUCUGAACAAAUCAUACUCUCUCCAGCUCUGCUCUUAAAGGUGCCCACCACACUCCUGCAACUUGAAAUCUCCCAGCAGGACGAAGCUUCUAGCAGUCACCAUCACUACAGCACAGGUGCAGACAAAACUGGCCUGUCACUGGACAUAUCAACUGUGCGCUCUGCAACAUAGCAGCCAUGAACCAGCCCUGAUAUAUUUGCAACUGCUUCACAAUGGCUCGUUUACCUGCUUCUUAGGAUAACGUAAGACACUACACCAGGAAGGCUGGAUCUCUGUGCUGCAGCACUUAGGUACCUACACCAGUGCUAACCCCCCCAUGCCACAGGGGGCUUUUCCAAAAUCUCUGCUACAAACCCACCCUAUGAGCCUCACUUAGGCAACUCUUGUUUAGAAGUCACAGAGCUCCCAGACAAACAGUUUCUCUUACCACUGUUUCCCUAACCCAGUCCCCACCGUUCUUCCCCCAACAUGUACUGUAAAAAUGCAGCUCCAUGGCGUGUAGCGCUUACGACACUGCACUAAGGCCAAAGAAAAUAGGGGAAACUCUUCCCCUAACUCGCUUAGCAAAUGAUUUACUGUUCCCCUUCUUCAAAGUCAUGCAAUGCUGGAAAACAAGCUCUGGGCUCCUGGAACAGCAGCCCUUUUCCUGCACCAUCAGGCAAAUGCUUUUGAACUCACCAGCAGGAUAGCGGGGCCAUUUGGAGGCUCAGCCUAGACAGCAACAUGAAACAGAGAAGAAAUUCCGCGUUUUACUUCAGAGCAAGAGAUCAGGGACCACCGUUGCCAGGAACAGGCUCUCUGAGGGAUGCUGUGAGCCUGAUACGGCGAGGACCUCGUGGUACAGGGACUGCAUAUCUGACCUCCAAAAGAGGCCAGGGGUCAAGUUCAGAGAAAGGCACAACAGCGGUGAGAAAAGAUGGAGUAAUCCCAAUGACACGCGUACUUACGCACCACGCACAAACUCACAUAACCCUUCUUAACCAAGGAGUCAAACAGGCCCCUGCAAAGCCAGCCCCUCUGUGGCCUUUCCUAAGGCAGUCUGCUUGGUGUUCACACUUGCCCUGCAGGCUAAUGUGCCUAUAAAAGUAUACAUACAGAGAUAGAAGCAAGCUUUCAGAUUUCUGGGCACGCUGCCUUUGGCCACAUCCCCCCUUGCUACCCCAGGCAGGAUUCAGACCUUUUGCAGUUUAUUGCAGGGAGAUCAUGCACCAGACGGACCAGGACAUGUCCUGAAGUGCCCUUGCUGUGGGGAGUUCAGGACAGCAGGUUUGGCUCUCGGAGCCACGCUUGCUUGAAAUUUCCUCCAGCUGAGACGUUUAGUGAGUCUAAUUCAACAUCUACAG